UAAUACAGAGGGGGCAAGCGUUGUUCGGAAUUACUGGGCGUAAAGGGCGCGUAGGCGGCCUGCUAAGUCGAACGUGAAAUCCCCGAGCUCAACUCGGGAACUGCGUCCGAUACUGGUUGGCUUGAAUCCGGGAGAGGGAUGCGGAAUUCCAGGUGUAGCGGUGAAAUGCGUAGAUAUCUGGAGGAACACCGGUGGCGAAGGCGGCAUCCUGGACCGGCAUUGACGCUGAGGCGCGAAAGCCAGGGGAGCAAACGGGAUUAGAUACCCCGGUAGUCCUGGCCCUAAACGAUGAAUGCUUGGUGUGGCGGGUAUCGAUCCCUGCCGUGCCGAAGCUAACGCAUUAAGCAUUCCGCCUGGGGAGUACGGUCGCAAGGCU
rnacentral:rRNA from 1 species